rnacentral:rRNA from 1 species
GGUAGCACAGAGAGCUUGCUCUCGGGUGACGAGUGGCGGACGGGUGAGUAAUGUCUGGGAAACUGCCUGAUGGAGGGGGAUAACUACUGGAAACGGUAGCUAAUACCGCAUAACGUCGCAAGACCAAAGAGGGGGACCUUCGGGCCUCUUGCCAUCAGAUGUGCCCAGAUGGGAUUAGCUAGUAGGUGGGGUAAUGGCUCACCUAGGCGACGAUCCCUAGCUGGUCUGAGAGGAUGACCAGCCACACUGGAACUGAGACACGGUCCAGACUCCUACGGGAGGCAGCAGUGGGGAAUAUUGCACAAUGGGCGCAAGCCUGAUGCAGCCAUGCCGCGUGUAUGAAGAAGGCCUUCGGGUUGUAAAGUACUUUCAGCGGGGAGGAAGGUGUUGCGGUUAAUAACCGCAGCAAUUGACGUUACCCGCAGAAGAAGCACCGGCUAACUCCGUGCCAGCAGCCGCGGUAAUACGGAGGGUGCAAGCGUUAAUCGGAAUUACUGGGCGUAAAGCGCACGCAGGCGGUCUGUCAAGUCGGAUGUGAAAUCCCCGGGCUCAACCUGGGAACUGCAUUCGAAACUGGCAGGCUAGAGUCUUGUAGAGGGGGGUAGAAUUCCAGGUGUAGCGGUGAAAUGCGUAGAGAUCUGGAGGAAUACCGGUGGCGAAGGCGGCCCCCUGGACAAAGACUGACGCUCAGGUGCGAAAGCGUGGGGAGCAAACAGGAUUAGAUACCCUGGUAGUCCACGCCGUAAACGAUGUCGACUUGGAGGUUGUUCCCUUGAGGAGUGGCUUCCGGAGCUAACGCGUUAAGUCGACCGCCUGGGGAGUACGGCCGCAAGGUUAAAACUCAAAUGAAUUGACGGGGGCCCGCACAAGCGGUGGAGCAUGUGGUUUAAUUCGAUGCAACGCGAAGAACCUUACCUACUCUUGACAUCCAGAGAACUUUCCAGAGAUGGAUUGGUGCCUUCGGGAACUCUGAGACAGGUGCUGCAUGGCUGUCGUCAGCUCGUGUUGUGAAAUGUUGGGUUAAGUCCCGCAACGAGCGCAACCCUUAUCCUUUGUUGCCAGCGGUUAGGCCGGGAACUCAAAGGAGACUGCCAGUGAUAAACUGGAGGAAGGUGGGGAUGAC